UACGUAGGGUGCGAGCGUUUAAUCGGAAUUACUGGGCGUAAAGCGUGCGCAGGCGGUUCGUCGUGUCCGAUGUGAAAGCCCCGGGCUCAACCUGGGAAUGGCAUUGGAAACUGGCGGACUCGAGUGUGGCAGAGGGGGGUGGAAUUCCGCGUGUAGCAGUGAAAUGCGUAGAGAUGCGGAGGAACACCGAUGGCGAAGGCAGCCCCCUGGGCUAACACUGACCGCUCAGGCACGAAAGCGUGGGGAGCAAACAGG
rnacentral:rRNA from 1 species